AGAGUUUGAUCCUGGCUCAGGAUGAACGCUGGCGGCGUGCUUAAUACAUGCAAGUCGAACGGAGGUUGUAGCAAUACGACCUUAGUGGCGAACGGGUGAGUAACGCGUUGGUGACCUGCCCCGAAGUGUGGGAUAACAGUUCGAAAGGAUUGCUAAUACCACAUGUGGUCAGACGGGUUUAGAAACCGCUGACUAAAGCAGUAAUGCGCUUCGGGAGGGGCCUGCGUCCCAUCAGCUAGUUGGUAAGGUAAUGGCUUACCAAGGCUACGACGGGUAGGGGACCUGAGAGGGUGAUCCCCCACACUGGCACUGAAACACGGGCCAGACACCUACGGGUGGCAGCAGUAGGGAAUAUUGGGCAAUGGGCGAAAGCCUGACCCAGCAACGCCGCGUGCACGAUGAAGGCCUUCGGGUUGUAAAGUGCUUUUCGGGGAGACGAGCAAGGACGGUAUCCCCGGAAGAAGGAUCGGCUAACUACGUGCCAGCAGCCGCGGUAAAACGUAGGAUCCGAGCGUUAUCCGAAUUCACUGGGCGUAAAGCGCGUGCAGGCGGCCCGUUAAGUUGGAUGUGAAAUCUCCUGGCUCAACUAGGAGAGGCUGUUCAAUACUGGCGGGCUCGAGGACGGUAGAGGGAGGUGGAAUUCCCGGUGUAGUGGUGAAAUGCGUAGAUAUCGGGAGGAACACCAGUGGCGAAGGCGGCCUCCUAGGCCGUUCCUGACGCUCAGACGCGAAAGCUAGGGGAGCAAACGGGAUUAGAAACCCCGGUAGUCCUAGCUGUAAACGAUGUAGACUGGGUGUGGGUGGGGUAAAAGCCAUCCGUGCCGAAGCCAACGCGAUAAGUCUACCGCCUGGGGACUACGGCCGCAAGGUUAAAACUCAAAGGAAUUGACGGGGGCCCGCACAAGCAGCGGAGCGUGUGGUUUAAUUCGAUUUUACACGAAAAACCUUACCCGGGCUUGACAUACAGGUAUCGGGAUUCUCGAAAGGGGAUCCCACCCUCGGGAGGCCUGUACAGGUGCUGCAUGGCUGUCGUCAGCUCGUGUCGUGAGAUGUCCGGUUAAGUCCGGUAACGAGCGCAACCCUCGCCACGUGUUACAAGUGUCACGUGGGACUGCCGGUAUCAAGCCGGAGGAAGGUGGGGAUGACGUCAAGUCAGCAUGGCCUUUAUGUCCGGGGCUACACACACGCUACAAUGGCCAGUACAAUGGGUCGCAAAGCCGCAAGGUAGAGCCAAUCCCCAAAAUUGGCCUCAGUUCAGAUUGUAGGCUGCAACCCGCCUACAUGAAGUCGGAGUUGCUAGUAAACGCGCGUCAGCAUUAGUGCGUUGAAUACGUUCCCGGGCCUUGUACACACCGCCCGUCACGUCAUGGGAGCUGGUAACACCUGAAGCCGGUAUCCUAACCGCAAGGAAGGAGCCGUCGAAGGUGGGACUGGUGACUGGGACGAAGUCGUAACAAGGUA
rnacentral:rRNA from 1 species